rnacentral:rRNA from 1 species
CCUACGGGAGGCAGCAGUAGGGAAUAUUGGACAAUGGGUGAGAGCCUGAUCCAGCCAUGCCGCGUGCAGGAAGAAGGCGUUAUGCGUUGUAAACUGCUUUUGCCAGGGGAUAAAACGGUUCUGCGGAACUAAUUGAAGGUACCUGGUGAAUAAGCCACGGCUAACUACGUGCCAGCAGCCGCGGUAAUACGUAGGUGGCAAGCGUUGUCCGGAUUUAUUGGGUUUAAAGGGUGCGUAGGCGGCCCUGUAAGUCAGUGCUGAAAUAUCCCGGCUUAACCGGGAGGGUGGCAUUGAUACUGCAGGGCUUGAGUACAGAUGAGGUAGGCGGAAUUGACGGUGUAGCGGUGAAAUGCAUAGAUAUCGUCAAGAACACCGAUAGCGAAGGCAGCUUACCAAGCUGUAACUGACGCUGAGGCACGAAAGUGUGGGGAUCAAACAGGAUUAGAUACCCUGGUAGUCCACACUGUAAACGUUGAUGACUCGAUGUUGGCGAUACACAGCCAGCGUCCAAGAGCAAUCGUUAAGUCAUCCACCUGGGGAGUACGCCGGCAACGGUGAAACUCAAAUGAAUUGACGG